rnacentral:rRNA from 1 species
AUUGAACGCUGGCGGCAUGCUUUACACAUGCAAGUCGAACGGUAACAGGCCGCAAGGUGCUGACGAGUGGCGAACGGGUGAGUAAUGCAUCGGAACGUGCCCAGUCGUGGGGGAUAACUACUCGAAAGAGUAGCUAAUACCGCAUACGAUCUAUGGAUGAAAGCGGGGGACCGUAAGGCCUCGCGCGAUUGGAGCGGCCGAUGUCAGAUUAGGUAGUUGGUGGGGUAAAGGCUCACCAAGCCAACGAUCUGUAGCUGGUCUGAGAGGACGACCAGCCACACUGGGACUGAGACACGGCCCAGACUCCUACGGGAGGCAGCAGUGGGGAAUUUUGGACAAAGGGCGCAAGCCUGAUCCAGCAAUGCCGCGUGCAGGAAGAAGGCCUUCGGGUUGUAAACUGCUUUUGUACGGAACGAAACGGCUCUGGUUAAUACCCGGGGCUAAUGACGGUACCGUAAGAUUAAGCACCGGCUAACUACGUG